ACAGUCCAUCUCAUAGAAUUUGAGCUUGAAAAAAGAUUUUUUGAAAAAAGAAAACAGAAUUAUAGUCAAACAAAAAGUGGUUUUUUUUGCAAUUUAGAACUACUAGAAGGGCAAGCGGCUUUCUUGUUAGUCGCAGAGAGGGCUUUGAAGAUUGUCUUUAGGAAUGGCUAACUACAAAUAGAACAAAAAGCAAAUUCUAAAUAUGCCUCAUCGAACUUGAUAACUUCUUAUGCAGAUUUAACUAAUACCCAAGAAGUGCUUCAGCACUUUGUGUCCGUUAAUUGUGAAGCUUGUAAUAAAAUGGUAACACAGUUGCUUCCUGUUGUAGUAAAUCCCUAUUUAUUUCCUGAAUGACUGGAAAAAAAAGUGGAAAUGACACAAAAGUUAACUUUCGUGUGUCAUAACAGGUUUUGAAGUUAGAAACUAGAAGAUAUUUUGUUGGGGAACCCACAUCACUUCAAACAAUAGGUUUCAAAAACCUUUAGACGAAUAAACAAUGAAUUAAACUACUCUUGCCUCAAUAGUAGGAUCUAUCCAAUAAAAAGAGAGGCGUUUGAUAUAAUCAAAUGAAAAGAAGAAAUCACUCUGUCCUUGUGUUGGUUCUGAUUCUUUCUUCCUCUUUUUUCCCUCUUUAUGUCAAUGUUUUUUGACAUUGUUGCUUAAUUUUUGUCUUUUAAUUAAUAUAUCUAUCCAAUAUAUGGUCUUUACCUUCCUUUCCAGGAUGAUUAAUAAAUCUUAGUCUACAUCUACAUCUUGCUUUAAUUAACUAACUUCUUAAGCGGCUAAUUGUCUUCUUGAGAUAAACAAUCCUGACUAUUUUAUGCCACCACUGAAUUUGCUGGAGGAAUAUUACGAAUUCAAGACGAAUGACUUUUAACACUUAGAUCAAGCAAACUUAGUUUUUAAAGUUUCAAUAGAUUUGAAGGACGAAUUUCAUGGAGCAGUAGUAAAUUGAUUCAUUGGAAGCGCUAGAGCUGCUAGAUCAAAUAUAUACUGUGCAUCAAAGAGUGCCAAAGACAAAAGCAGAAGUCAUACUAACAAGUGGAACUUUUUUUUUUUCUUUAACAACCUAAAUCUAAUGGGUUGGAGUAGGUUAAACUCAAAUAGACUAUUCUGCAAGUUAGUAGCUUUCAUCCUGUUAGGGCUGAUUAGGAUGUAGUCAUGUUACUAUUACUUAUUUUGUCAAAUGUGGGAGCCCUAAUAAUGGUAAACUGUGGCAACAAGGUGAACCAACAAAGUCAACAACAACUAAAAGGGGAGUCGAAAUAAAGGAAAGCAAACUCAAAGAACAUGGAAGCGAUUUGUUUCGAGGUAGCCAAGUUAUCAGCCCCCUACUCUGCUCAGUGUAAAGUCCAACUGCACUUGCUUCUUUGUAUAGCUCUCACCCGUAUCUGGGGAUAGUCAUUGUCCUACAGCAGUGAAGCAACUGGUGCACCAUGGCUGAUAAUCCGGUACCCUACUUCGUCCUCCAACAUCGUUUUCUUGUUAGGGUUCACAUCCAGCAGCUCAGCCGGCUCAAACCUAGCUCGAUUCAUGCGUUUGACUUAGUCUUAACUGUCUAUUUGAUGAACGGUCCAGUAACUCUACUUCGACGCCUGCCGUCAGUCAUUCUAACUGUUUUAUGUUGUGAUUUAAUAAAAGAAGUUUUUGUGCCAUUAA